CCUUCGGGGAGCUUGUACAGGUGCUGCAUGGCUGUCGUCAGCUCGUGUCGUGAGAUGUUCGGUUAAGUCCGCUAACGAGCGCAACCCUCGCUGUGUGUUACAAGUGUCACACGGAACUGCCGGUCAUAAACCGGAGGAAGGUGGGGAUGACGUCAAGUCAGCAUGGCCUUUAUAUCCUGGGCUACACACACGCUACAAUGGGAAGGGACAAUAGGUUGCGAAGCCGCGAGGCGGAGCCAAUCCAGCAAAACUUCCCUCAGUUCAGAUUGCAGGCUGCAACUCGCCUGCAUGAAGUUGGAGUUGCUAGUAAACGCAGGUCAGCCAUACUGCGUUGAAUACGUUCCCGGGGCUU
rnacentral:rRNA from 1 species